UAGUCCACGCCGUAAACGAUGUCAACUAGCCGUCGGGCUCAUUUAAGGGUUUGGUGGCGCAGCUAACGCGCUAAGUUGACCGCCUGGGGAGUACGCCGGCAACGGUAAAACUCAAAGGAAUUGACGGGGACCCGCACAAGCGGUGGAGCAUGUGGUUUAAUUCGAGGCAACGCGAAGAACCUUACCAGUCCUUGACAUCCCGAUCGCGAUUAAUGGAGACAUUUUUCUUCAGUUCGGCUGGAUCGGUGACAGGUGCUGCAUGGUUGUCGUCAGCUCGUGUCGUGAGAUGUUGGGUUAAGUCCCGCAACGAGCGCAACCCUCAUCCUAUUUUGCCAGCACGUUAUGGUGGGAACUAUUAGGAAACUGCCCGUGACAAGCGGGAGGAAGGCGGGGAUGACGUCAAAUCAGCACGGCCCUUACGGACUGGGCUACACACGUGCUACAAUGGUGACUACAACGAGUCGCAAACCUGCGAAGGUGAGCUAAUCUUUAAAAGUCAUCUCAGUUCGGAUUGGAGU
rnacentral:rRNA from 1 species